GCGGUGGUAGCUCAGUCGGGUGAGCGCCCGCUUCUCACGCAAGAGAUGCGGGUUCGAAUCUCGGCGCUGACAUGUA
rnacentral:tRNA from 1 species